UUUUUUUUUACAGAUCAGGUCCUCUCAACAUCAACAUGAACAACGUGUAAAAUAGUUGUUAGGAUAGUGUGGUCGAAAAAUGGAAUAUUUCAAGAAAUUAAAAUACGAGAAAUAAUGAAUUUGUUCCUGUUGGCAAACUGUUUUGAUACGUAAUUAACAAUGUAUAUUUUGCGAUUGAAACUAUUACACGAUACGAUAGAGGCUCCGAUAUUAGAGUCUCAUCCUUAUACAGUGAUAUAAAUGUAAUAAUAAAAUGAUUUCAACCUGAGAUUUUUAACGAUAACGCGAAUAGGCUUUAACAACGACUUAUCGCUAUCUUAUUAUUUUAUGACAAUCUCUGAAAGAAUCCUUAUCAUUGUAUAAAUCCUAGAAUAAAAAUAUUCGUCCCAUUGACAUCCUUUUUUCUUUAAAGCGCUACUUCAAAACUAUAUCGUAAUUCUCUUUAAUAAAAUAACGAACUUGACAUCAAAAUAAUUUGCUAUUCAGCAGCUAAAAAAUAUUUGAUAUUCACAACUGGGAAUUCGUACAUCUGCAGGGAGGAUUAAUCACGUGCCGGUAUCAUAACGAGGAAAAUCUUAUUUCAGACUAUGUCUAGAACAGUGACAAUGAGGUUCAAAGACAGACUAAUCUUGCUACGUUCAACGUCGAGCUGAGCUAUGUCUGCCUUCGAUGCAUAAUUCCUGUUGAUUAUCGUUACCAUUAAUUCUUCUCUAGUUUUAGGAACUAUCGUUUGUUUAAAAGUACUAAGCUGCUGCUGAUGCCUGUUGCAUCGAGUAAAUCAUUUGAAUAACGCAAUUAUUAUAUUUUAAGCUCUAUAGUUUUCUUUGGAGUGAUUCGUAAAGAUCCGCGAAACAGCAGACAAUGUAACGAAAGAAUUAUUAUUUGUAGUUAAAACGAAGACAUUUCACACGAACAACACUUCGAUUCUCCAAAUGAGUCGCCAUCAGUUUCAAUUAAUAGCGAAUAAUGUGUCAAGUGGUUUCAUGAAUUGAUUGAAAAUCGAUGUAAUCUUAAGAGGCAUUAAAUUCCAGAAAUUCUUCCAUAUUACGG
rnacentral:misc_RNA from 1 species